GAGGGACUUUCAGUCUGUUGCCUGCCUUCCCUGGAUCCAACACCCAAGGUGAACCUAAUCUACAUGGUGAUGAUCUUUGGGGGGCAUCUAUGGGAUGGUUAGGUCAUGAGGACAGAGGCAAUUUGAAUGAGAUGAAUACCUUUCGCAGAGCACUGCCUCAUCCUCUUUAGCUUGCUAGGGCACAGGAAGAAGACAGGCAGAUCUGAACUGGAAACCAGACCUUUUUUGUACAUGCUGGUACUCUGAGCUCGGAUGCCAGCUGCUAGAACUGUGAGAAAUUUCUGUUGUUAGAUGAAAGCAUAAUGAACAUGUGGUUCAGCAACACAUCAGAAUGUCAGUCAGCCAUCAAGAGAAAUGAAAUUAGGAGGAAAAUGCUCAGAUCUGGACACUCCUCUGUUGAGCGAAGUAACAUGUGCUCAUGAAGACAGACAGACACUCUGUCAUGUACAGAUUCUCGUUUAUAUUUUUAUAUGGAUGCAGAUAUGUAAGGGGGAAUUGAACUGAGGCUUGGUGGCAAGAGUCUUUAUCUUCUGAGCCACUCAACGGAGGACAGAUAACAUGCAAGGAGGCCAUGGGUUCUACAUCCAGCACCAAAGGAUUAAAAUGAAAAUGAAAGAAAACUUACUUCUCGCUUUCUCCACUGGGCUGCUUGGUCUCUAAGCAAAUGUGUUGUCAUAGCAUGGAAACCUGCCCAAAUUUCUUGGGUUGCUCAAGG
rnacentral:lncRNA from 1 species